rnacentral:rRNA from 1 species
UACGUAGGGGGCAAGCGUUACCCGGAUUUACUGGGCGUAAAGCGCGUGUAGGCGGCUGGCCAAGUGUGGUGUGAAAUCCCCCGGCUCAACCGGGGAACUGCAUUGCAAACUGGUCUGGCUAGAGUGCAGGAGAGGGAAGUGGAAUUCCCGGUGUAGCGGUGAAAUGCGUAGAGAUGCGGAGGAACACCGAUGGCGAAGGCAGCCCCCUGGGCUGACACUGACGCUCAGGCACGAAAGCGUGGGGAGCAAACGGG